rnacentral:rRNA from 1 species
GAGACAGCAGUAGCCGCGGUAAUACAGAGGGUGCGAGCGUUAAUCGGAUUUACUGGGCGUAAAGCGUGCGUAGGCGGCUAAUUGAGUCGGAUGUGAAAUCCCCGAGCUUAACUUGGGAAUUGCAUUCGAUACUGGUUAGCUAGAGUGUGGGAGAGGAUGGUAGAAUUCCAGGUGUAGCGGUGAAAUGCGUAGAGAUCUGGAGGAAUACCGAUGGCGAAGGCAGCCAUCUGGCCUAAUACUGACGCUGAGGUACGAAAGCAUGGGGAGCAAACAGGAUUAGAUACCCGCGUAGUCCCUGUCUCUUAUAU